rnacentral:rRNA from 1 species
AAAGUUACGCUAAUACCGCAUACGAUCUAUGGAUGAAAGCGGGGGAUCGCAAGACCUCGCGCGAUUGGAGCGGCCGAUAUCAGAUUAGGUAGUUGGUGAGGUAAAGNNUCACCAAGCCGACGAUCUGUAGCUGGUCUGUGAGGACGACCAGCCACACUGGGACUGAGACACGGCCCAGNCUCCUACGGGAGGCAGCAGUGGGGAAUUUUGGACAAUGGGCGAAAGCCUGAUCCAGCAAUGCCGCGUGCAGGAUGAAGGCCUUCGGGUUGUAAACUGCUUUUGUACGGAACGAAACGGCGAGCUCUAAUACAGUUUGCUAAUGACGGUACCGUAAGAAUAAGCACCGGCUAACUACGUGCCAGCAGCCGCGGUAAUACGUAGGGUGCAAGCGUUAAUCGGAAUUACUGGGCGUAAAGCGUGCGCAGGCGGUUCUAUAAGACAGGCGUGAAAUCCCCGGGCUCAACCUGGGAAUUGCGUUUGUGACUGUAGGGCUAGAGUACGGCAGAUGGGGAUGGAAUUCCGC